rnacentral:rRNA from 1 species
GACAGAGGGUGCAAACGUUGCUCGGAAUUACUGGGCGUAAAGGGCGCGUAGGCGGCGUGUCAAGUCAGGCGUGAAAGCCCCCGGGCUCAACCUGGGAACCGCGCUUGAGACUGGCAUGCUCGAGUUCGGGAGAGGAUGGUGGAAUUCCCAGUGUAGAGGUGAAAAUUCGUAGAUAUUGGGAAGAACACCGAUGGCGAAGGCAGCCAUCUGGACCGACACUGACGCUGAGGCGCGAAAGCGUGGGGAGCAAACAGG